rnacentral:piRNA from 1 species
ACACAGCCAGUAACGAUAGAGCCAGGA